CAACUCAUCAAAACAAUCUCUUCAAAAUCUACGAAGAGACAUGGCAGAAGAAAUUCUCAAAGGAUCAGUUUCAAAGGAUGACUUCUGUUCCUUCUGUGGAAUUGAGGACCUGCCCACAACUGCUGUUGAUGCUGUUUGGAUUCAGUGUGAAACUUGUGGAAGAUGGUUUCACACGCAGUGCCUCGG